rnacentral:pre_miRNA from 1 species
AAAGGAAUAGCUAGGUCAAAUGAUGGUUCCAUUCCCAGAUUUCCAAGGAAUCUCCAUACUGCUUUCCAAAUUGGCUGCACCAAUUUGCAGUCCCACCAGCAAU